rnacentral:rRNA from 1 species
GAUGAACGCUGGCGGCGUGCCUAAUACAUGCCAGUCGAGCGAACGGACGAGAAGCUUGCUUCUCUGAUGUUAGCGGCGGACGGGUGAGUAACACGUGGAUAACCUACCUAUAAGACUGGGAUAACUUCGGGAAACCGGAGCUAAUACCGGAUAAUAUUUUGAACCGCAUGGUUCAAAAGUGAAAGACGGUCUUGCUGUCACUUAUAGAUGGAUCCGCGCUGCAUUAGCUAGUUGGUAAGGUAACGGCUUACCAAGGCAACGCUGCAUAGCCGACCUGAGAGGGUGAUCGGCCACACUGGAACUGAGACACGGUCCAGACUCCUACGGGAGGCAGCAGUAGGGAAUCUUCCGCAAUGGGCGAAAGCCUGACGGAGCAACGCCGCGUGAGUGAUGAAGGUCUUCGGAUCGUAAAACUCUGUUGUUAGGGAAGAACAUAUGUGUAAGUAACUGUGCACAUCUUGACGGUACCUAAUCAGAAAGCCACGGCUAACUACGUG